rnacentral:lncRNA from 12 species
AGGGGGGAGCCCGAGGCGGAGGGUAGAGGCCGGAGGAGAGGGCGGGGGGGAGGAGGGCGGGGAGGAUCCCCGUGGGCACCGGCUGGAGAGGCGGCCCGCAGGCUGGGUGCGCGUGUGUGCGCGUGUGUGCGCGUGUGUGCGCGUGUGUGCGCGCGCGCGUGCAGCUGGAGCCACCGUCCCGGCGCCCUCCGUGCCUGCAGCCCCGCUGCCCCGCACCCCCAGGGCCGACCUGCGGGGCCUGGGGCGCAGACACCUGCGGCCGCGGGUGCACAGGGGCCCCGCGUGUGGGAGAUCGAGCGCCUGACAGCGGCGCCCAGCUUCGCGGAGUCGCGCGGUUCUGAGUGUGCAGAUGUGCGUGGCUCUUGGAUCUUGCAGCCGCGUCUCUUUCCAGUUUGGAGAGGAAAGUGGAGAGAGAAAAGGCGACUGUGGUCUCUGCUCAGCUACUUUGCUCUGCUCUGCUCAGCUGGCUUUGAACCUGCAGACAUCUCUUACCUCUGACAGUCCUGAAGUGCCAGAUACCUCAGGCUUGGAUGGCAGAACCCCCAGGCUGGCAAUGGCUGGCACUCUCUCUCUCUUUCUCUCUCUCUCUUUCAUGUGUAUUUAUUUGAAAACCCUCCUCAAAGUGAAAACGGUUCUAAAAGGCCUGCCUGCAUUGGAGGUGGUCUUAAAAACACCUGCCACCUCCCCUUGCUCCAGCUCCUGCAGAGUGUCGGUUUCAGGUCCCUGGGCAGGGCAGCGAGGGAGCUCACCCUGGGGAGAAUCGGAGGCCGAGGUUGGUUGGGCAGAGCAUCCGGGUCUGGCAAAGUUUCUGCAGGAGGCAGCGGUUCCUUCUGUCUUGAGUACAGGGCAUCGCACACUUGAGAAAUAUGAAUCUCUAAUUAUUUCUAAUUACGCUGAAUGUAACCAGCGACGGGAUCAGAUUUUCCAAGUUCAGCUAAGAUCACAUGAAGACACCCAGGGGUAUGUGUGUGUAUAUAUAUAUAUAUCUUUAAACAGAUGGAAUGAAAGAAGAAUGGCUGGUAUAAAAGGAUUCCGUUUAAGGAUUUUUUGUUUUCUUUUUGAGUAA